UCUCUCUUGCUCGUUAAUGACGUAACGUGUGUUGUGGUUCCGGGUCGCUUUUUCGUGUGCCAUGCUGUUUGAUUGAACACUGGCUCUCCAACUGGAGAUCUCUCUCGUUAUGCUGCGCAGUCAACAAACGGACUUGCUGUUUCUCUUGGGCAUUCGUGAAUGCUGUUUGAUUGAACACUGGCUCUCCAACUGGAGAGCUCUCUCACGGACCUGCUGUUCUUCUUGGGUAUGCGUGAAUGCUGUUUGAUUGGACUGAGGCCGGUUUAGUGGGAGAUCGUCGCCAGUUACGCAGUGUGAGUCGCUAGCUGCUGUUUUUCCUGCACUGCUGUAUUCCUGCAUCGCUGUGUUGCCCGCACUGCUGCUGUUUGCUUUACGCCUGCACCACUGUUUGUUUUAUGCGCAUGCAUUGAACAUUGUACCAGCAACUGGAGCAGAUUGCUGUGCGCUGGUUUUGCCAUUAUAACUACUGGGCAAUUAAGGCUGCAUGGCUAAAAAUGUGCCAUUUGUUUCAAGUGGGUCAGUGUUUUUAUGAUAUUUGAAGAUAGCUCAAGGGGUUGGGGCUUUAUAUUAUAAUUUUGCUGAUUUAAGUGUGUGUGUGUGUGUGUGUGUGUGUGUGUGUGUGUGUGAGCGUGUAUUUAUCACUUUGUGGGGACCAAAUGUCCCCAUAAGGAUAGUAAAACCCGAAAUUUUUGACCUUGUGGGGACAUUUUGUCGGUCCCCAUGAGGAAAACAGCUUAUAAAUCAUACUAAAUUAUGUUUUUUGAAAAUGUAAAAAUGCAGAAUGUUUUCUGUGAGGGUUAGGUUUAGGGGUAGGGUUAGGUUUAGGGGAUAGAAUAUAAAGUUUGUACAGUAUAAAAACCAUUAUGUCUAUGGAAAGUCCCCAUAAAACAUGGAAACACAACAUGUGUGUGUGUGUGUGUGUGUGACCAUUGCUGGUUUGGCAGUUUAUCUUGUGAUAAGUUUGUUAGUUCUUUUCAUUUAAAGAUUAUAUAUUGAUUUUCCUUAUUUCUUUUUUUUGUGAAUCUUUGUUAAGAUUACACUACACGAUUUUAAGACCGAUUUUUCGCUCUUUAAAAAUUUGUAAUAUUGGCAGGAGCACCAGUGCCUAUUUGAUGUUUCCUCUGAACUAUACCACAACCAGGUGGAGAAAGAGAAGAGUUGGAGAGAAAUUGGCAAUUCUCUUGGACAGUCAGGAUACAUAUCCUAAGGUUACCAGAGUCUACCAGAUCCUACUUUGCCCACUGCUACAUUAUGUGUUGCUGAGUGACGACAAAUAAUUGCAGCCUGUGCCAUCCAGACAGCAAGGGGUACUUCGAUGAUCACUGACAGCGUUACUUCAGUCUUCCACGAUGGAUUUCACAGAGGAUGAACUGCUACCAACUCUAACAGUGAGACCUGGCAGACUUCACUGCCUGCAGCUCAGGCUUAGGAUGGACUCCACCAAAAAUGAACCGCCAAGCUUCCAGAUGGACUACAAGGCACACCACGUGUACCUCCACCAGCACCUUCUUGGUCAUAAGAUGCACAACACUCUCUUACAAUAGAAUACAUAGAUGAUAAAUAAAUACCAAUUAAAGCCUUAAUCAACCAAAUAAAAGGACAAUGCAUUUAUGUGCACUUCUGCAAACAAUUUGGAAUGGAAUUCAGAGACACUUAAUCAUUAAUCUUAUAGUUCAUACAAAAUCCCUUAGUUUUAAACACUGCCCACCAAAAUCUACUCAGUCUAUUUACAUAAAACAAGACUUAAACUUGGAUAACUUAAUACUGGUGUUGUAUUCGUGCUGUUUAGCCAGAGGGGAACUUGCCCCCCAGAUGAGCCUGGUUUUCCCUUAAGGUUAUUUUUCUCCAUUAACACAAAUAUUUGGAGUUUUGUUUUACUUGCCACAGUCACCUUUGGCUUGCUCACUGGGGGCCUAAAGACAAUAAUGUUUAAGGCAUGCUUUUUAAUCUCGUCAUUAAUUUGAACGUCACAACGAGGACUUUAAUAGCAUAAUUUUUUGUUGCAGCAUAAUUUUAAAGCUGCUUUGAAAUUAUGUGCGUUGUGAAAAGCGCUUUACAAAUAAAUAUGACUUGACUAUAUAUUUAUAUUAUCAAUGUACUCAAUAAUACUCUAAAUGUUAUAUUAAGCAUCAAGUUAUACAAGAAUUCUUAGUAUACUCGAGGCCUCUUGUGCUUUUCUUGUCUAAACUCUUUGUACUCUUUGGGGAAAUUCUAGGGAAUAGAUGUCUUAACCACUUGUCAUUUACGAUGUAUAGUGCACACACAUGUGCAGAUGUGUUUUUUUUCUUCUAUAACAUAUUUGAAAAAAACUUAAUUUACUUUUAAGGAAGUGUUUCAUGUACGCAUGUUCUACCCAAUAUAGGUUGUGACAAAAUGUCUUUUGGCACUCUUCUGGCUAUCUUCAUUGACUUUCACAUCUCAUCUCUGCCACUUUAGACUUAAACUUUAAAUUUGUUCAUUAGACGAGACGACAUACUUUUCUUUAAUACUAGAGUUAGUCCAUGGGUAUAUAUUUAGUUCUAUUUUCUCAAAUGUAUUUAAAAAUAUAUAAUUUUGUAUUUAUUUGUAUUUAUUCAGUUUUUACUAAAGUUUGUUAUUCCUU